UACGGGGGGGGUAAGCGUUGUUCGGAAUUACUGGGCGUAAAGCGCACGUAGGCGGAUUUGUAAGUCAGGGGUGAAAUCCCGGGGCUCAACCUCGGAACUGCCUUUGAUACUGCAAGUCUCGAGUCCGAUAGAGGUGGGUGGAAUUCCUAGUGUAGAGGUGAAAUUCGUAGAUAUUAGGAAGAACACCGGUGGCGAAGGCGGCCCACUGGAUCGGUACUGACGCUGAGGUGCGAAAGCGUGGGGAGCAAACAGG
rnacentral:rRNA from 1 species